UGGGCUGGGGCUCAGCGGUAGAGCGCUCGCCUCGCACGUGUGCGGCCCUGGGUUCGAUCUUCAGCACCACAU
rfam:Ictidomys tridecemlineatus contig022031, whole genome shotgun sequence.